AGAGUUUGAUCCUGGCUCAGGAUGAACGCUGGCGGCGUGCUUAACACAUGCAAGUCGAGCGAAGCAGUUAAGAAGAUUCUUCGGAUGAAACUUGAUUGACUGAGCGGCGGACGGGUGAGUAACGCGUGGGUGACCUGCCCCAUACCGGGGGAUAACAGCUGGAAACGGCUGCUAAUACCGCAUAAGCGCACAGAGCUGCAUGGCUCGGUGUGAAAAACUCCGGUGGUAUGGGAUGGGCCCGCGUCUGAUUAGGCAGUUGGCGGGGUAACGGCCCACCAAACCGACGAUCAGUAGCCGGCCUGAGAGGGCGACCGGCCACAUUGGGACUGAGACACGGCCCAAACUCCUACGGGAGGCAGCAGUGGGGAAUAUUGCACAAUGGGGGAAACCCUGAUGCAGCGACGCCGCGUGAGCGAAGAAGUAUUUCGGUAUGUAAAGCUCUAUCAGCAGGGAAGAUAAUGACGGUACCUGACUAAGAAGCCCCGGCUAACUACGUGCCAGCAGCCGCGGUAAUACGUAGGGGGCAAGCGUUAUCCGGAUUUACUGGGUGUAAAGGGAGCGUAGACGGCAAGGCAAGUCUGAUGUGAAAACCCAGGGCUUAACCCUGGGACUGCAUUGGAAACUGUCUGGCUCGAGUGCCGGAGAGGUAAGCGGAAUUCCUAGUGUAGCGGUGAAAUGCGUAGAUAUUAGGAAGAACACCAGUGGCGAAGGCGGCUUACUGGACGGUAACUGACGUUGAGGCUCGAAAGCGUGGGGAGCAAACAGGAUUAGAUACCCUGGUAGUCCACGCCGUAAAC
rnacentral:rRNA from 1 species